GGACUGGAGGCAUGCCCGUCGCGCCAGCUAGGCGGUGGGAGGCUGACCAGGGUCACAUGACCAGGUGGCGUGCUGGAACCGGCGCUGUGGCUGCUGUGUGCACUGAUCCUUCCCCUCUGAGGUGCACAUGACCCUGACGGGGUCACUGUGAAGGUCAGGUCUAAUAGCCAAAAUGUGCAGAGGAAACGAGCCUCUGCUCCGUCCUCCACACUCAUUGUCCCCAUUUUGUGGCUGAAGCGGUAAACGGCCUCCCUUCUCUUCAGAAUACACGGGGCUCCUGGUGCUUUACAAGACAGCCACCGCGCUCUUUGUCAGUUUUAUAAUAUGUACAUGUCCCUCCCCAACAUCUCCUUUCUUAAAAAAAAUAAAAUAAAAGAAAGAAAAAGAAAAAGAAAGAAAGAAAGAAAGAAAAUCAGGGGCCCUUCCCUCCGGUUGUGGAGCAUCAUUUCUACCCCAUAAUGAGACAGACAGUGGGGUCCUCCCUAGGAGCAAUGUACUGAAGGGGUGAGGUGGCCAGCGCUGGGACACCCCUCUGCACAGCUGCACUCUGGUGUCCCAGCGAGGACAGAAGGAACAUUGAGGACAGCUGGAGGGCACGGUUGACAAUGAGGGGAGAAUUCUUCCCACCAGGUUGGGAUCAAUGUGCCACAGUUUAAAGAGAUUUUUGUUUUCUCCCCAAAUAGUCAGCAGUCAGAUUGAAUUGAAUUUCAAAUUUCUCCCAUGGAGACAGCUCCAGAGCGCAGUCUCCACGGAUCCUCCAGGCCUGAGGGCAGAGCCCUCCUCUCCUCCUGGCAGCUCUCCUGCAGCCUGACCAGCUGGUUAGCCUAGAGGUGUCUGCCGCUGGGUGACUUCUCUGUCUGGGGACGACGUCACACAGCAGGCGCUCGUCCCUGGCUGCCCUGGAAAACCUGGACCUUUUCUGAGCCACUAAGAGGGAGAGAUCAAAAGUGGCUCCGGCCGCCGACCGACCGGACCCUCUCCGGGAACGUCUCCGACAGAGUCUCUCCGAAGGGUCCCAUCUGGCUCGUCGUCGUCAUCGUCCUCUUCCAGCUCUUCCUCAGUUUCCUCCGUCGCCUUUCGGGAACAAUUCGUCGGGGACAGCGGCUCCCCAGCUCCGGCAGCGGCCAAGGUCGUGUGUCUGUCCAUUUUAAAGUCUUUGAAGUGACCACUUAAUGACUCUGAUCAAAUCGACGACAGUCAUUUGCUGUGCAAUUGGAUAGAAACGGCCUGUGGUCAGUGGGUGACACAGGGAGGACCGUGUUGAACAUUCACACUGGGAUGGUGAACUGGAAGAGCUUCUGGAGAGGGCGAGGAUAUGCUGCAUCCAGUGGGAUAUCAGAUCGCCUGACAGUUGCUGAAUCGUCCAAUCCCGGCUGUUUGAAGUCCUUUGCCACUCACAGUUUUCUCUCUCUGAAGCGCUGGUCAACAGAUUCACGGAGACGCCUCUAAUGACUGCUCUUCGAUCAUCUUCCUGACAAGGAGAGACCUAUUCUUCUGCAGACUAGUUGGGUUUUCUUUAGAUGUCAUUGAGAAAAUUGACAUUAUUAUAAAAUAAAAUUAUGUUUUUGGUUUGGAACUA